CUCCUUCGCCUGCUUGCUGCGUGAGACUGAGUAACUGCUAGAUCCUUGGACUUCCAUUCACAGCUGCGACUGAACCAUUGUUGGGAAUUGGGCUGCCGACUGCUUUCACUGUGAAGGCCAAGCUGGUAUGGACUUACUCCGAAGCACUCGCUCAGUUCAAGCUCUUGCUUCUCCUGCCUCAGCCUUAACAAGUGCUAUGCUGACAACCAGACCCUAUUACCACAAGCUUGAAGAAUCAAGGAAAUUAAGUACAACAGUUUUCCCUUACAGGAAAACAUCCAAGACUCACAGCAGAGGACUCCUAACUAUAACAGCACCAACUGCUACAAACACUGCUUUUCCUAUAUGUUCUGCAGCAUGGCCACAGAGGAGAGGCAGCUUUUACAGUCUUGGCCAGCCUGGAACUCACUAUGUAAAUCAGGCUGGUCUUGAACUCAUAUCUUCUUGACUCUCCUUUUAAGUGUUGUGGAUUAAAGGGUAAAGGUGUGUAUACC